rnacentral:pre_miRNA from 1 species
UUUAUAUGACGCCGUGGAUUUUUAUGUUCGUGUUUGACCAUUCGUUUUAUUAAAAAAUUAUAAUUAUUAAUUAUUCUGUUACAAUUUGAUUUAUUAUUAUAGGAACUUUAACCAUGGCUUAUAAUUUUGCAUAUUUGGAUAAAUUUUUUGAAUAAGAUGAAUGGUCAAAUGUGGAUUCAAAGAUCAAUGGUGUCAUAUAAA